rnacentral:rRNA from 1 species
AACGAACGCUGGCGGCAUGCCUAACACAUGCAAGUCGAACGAGACCUUCGGGUCUAGUGGCGCACGGGUGCGUAACGCGUGGGAACCUGCCCUUAGGUUCGGAAUAACUCCCCGAAAGGGGUGCUAAUACCGGAUAAUGUCUUCGGACCAAAGAUUUAUCGCCUUUGGAUGGGCCCGCGUUGGAUUAGCUAGUUGGCAGGGUAAAAGCUUACCAAGGCGACGAUCCAUAGCUGGUCUGAGAGGAUGAUCAGCCACACUGGGACUGAGACACGGCCCAGACUCCUACGGGAGGCAGCAGUGGGGAAUAUUGGACAAUGGGCGAGAGCCUGAUCCAGCAAUGCCGCGUGAGUGAUGAAGGCCUUAGGGUUGUAAAGCUCUUUUACCCGGGAUGAUAAUGACGGUACCGGGAGAAUAAGCUCCGGCUAACUCCGUG